AAUUAUUAAUGCUAGCAUCUGAUCAUAGGGAUUUAAGUAAAACAACUAAACAUCAAAUGAUGACUUCAAUAUUCAUUGCAUUGGGACGAUCGCAUGCUACACAUAUUUUCUCAGCUCAACAUUCAUCAAACUCCGAGAUACGGAACCAGCAAUGAUCUCGAAGCUAUUAAGAAAAACAGCAAAAGCAAAGAUAGGGAACUCCAAGCAACUCAGCCUUUGAUACCCAUCUGCCAAGACAUUGAGAAUUUAUUUCCCAAAAGUAAAUUCAACCCACCGAUCUCAACCAUUAAACUACUCUUCUUUGUACCACCUUCCAGCUUUUCCAAAUCCACUGACGAAGGCUCACUGAAGCUAACACUUGUUAAAUCUGAGACAGGCUCCCCAUCAACCUCCAUCUUAAGCCCCGAGCCCUUACCACCCAACCCCAACACAACCACCUUCUCAAUCAACAAUCUCUUCUGCAAACUAAAUUCCCCUGCCUCAACUGCAGACCACACCUUCACCGCAUUCCCACUAACAGCAGCAUAGAACUCAACGUACGACGAUUCUCCAUCCACGAGCUUCAUCUCAGGCCGUUCAUCAUCGUCGACAAACAACUUCCCUUUAGCUUCUGCUUGUGUGGCACCGAAUGGGAAGGUGACCACAAGAGUAAAUGGUGUGGUUCGCGCCUCCUUUGAGAUCAAUCCUCCUUGCUGCAUCGGAAGUAUGGUAUUCUGGUAUACAUGCACAUUGACCACAUUCAGUGGAGCAUCAAGCGACACAUAGCGAUCAUCUUUGGAUACCACCGCCUUGCUCAUGUCGAACAAAUUAUACCAUGUCCCCGGAGGAAACAAGGCUUUCACUGAUGUCGAUGCUUUCUUGAGGACUGGGGAGACCAUGACACUGCUCCCUAGAAGAAACUGAGUACUAAGUUCAUAUGACCUUGUAAAAUUAGGAAAGGAAAAGAAGACCGGCCUUGCAAUUGGUGCGCCGCUGAUGUGAGCUUCAUAGCUCAAGGUGUAGAGGUACGGGAGCAACUUGUACCGUAGCCCCAAUGCAUUCCGGGCAGACUUGGCGACGGAAUCCCACACAUAGAGCUCUUGUCGGGGUGAAGCAAAGUUUGCAUGGUCCCUUGAGAAGGGAUAGAAAGCCCCGAGCUCAAUCCACCGACUGCAGAGUUCUUCUGUAGGCUGCGGGUAGAAACCGCAAAUGUCUGAGCCAACCAUGGGCAUGCCAAAGAUCCCGAAAUUCAGCAUUGUUGAUAUCGAAUAACGCAGGUCGUUCCAUGUUCCCUUGUUAUCGCCCGUCCAGUGGGCGGCGUAUGAUCCUGAUCCAACAAAAGUAGAGCGGGAAAGUAUGAAGGGACGCUUCCCCUCAAGCCCCAGAAGAGCCUUGUGAGUAGCAAUGGAUUGAGAAAAACCAUAGAGGCUAUGUGCAUUGUACUCCAACACGCCAUUGUAAUGCACUGCACUGGUGGCUAUAGUCUUGGACCCUAAGGGAAGUUGUGCCCCAGAUGCAUUUAUCUUGUAAGGUGGUUCAUCCCAUCUUGUACUAGUUAUGUUUUUGCAAUCUAAGCAGCAAACCCAUGGCUCUUUCGAAUUAGGCACUGGGCAUAAGUGGCUCUUUGGAAGCUCGCAUUUUCCUGUACAGAAGUUUGAAACUUCAUUCAUGUCA
rnacentral:misc_RNA from 1 species